rnacentral:lncRNA from 1 species
GGCGGCGUCUGCGUCUACAGCUGCCGGGGAAGAGGACUGGUAACUUUGGGUCAUAGGUUUUGGCUGGCUGCCUGGAUCUGGUGCUGGGAGCUAGCAACAGCUUCGGACCGUCCGAACCACCGGCAUAAAGGUCUAUAUCUGACAUCCAAGACUCAGCUGACCUAAGGGUCCUUCCCUCUGAAGUUGAAGUAUUAGAAUCUAUCUAUCUGGACGAACUACAGGUGAUGAAAGGGAACGGCAGAUCACCAUGGGAGAUCUUCAUCACUCUGCACCCUGCCACCGCAGAGGUCCAGGAUUCGCA